AUUAUACAACUUUCAGCAACGGAUCUCUUGGCUCUCGCAUCGAUGAAGAACGCAGCGAAAUGCGAUAAGUAAUGUGAAUUGCAGAAUUCAGUGAAUCAUCGAAUCUUUGAACGCACCUUGCGCUCCUUGGUAUUCCGAGGAGCAUGCCUGUUUGAGUGUCAUUAAAUUCUCAACCUCAUCAAUUU
rnacentral:rRNA from 1 species